GGAAGUAAAAGUCGUAACAAGGUUUCCGUAGUGAACCUGCGGAAGGAUCAUUACCACACCCAAAACAAAAAACAGAGGUCUCCGAUUCGCAAGAUGACGGACUGAUGUUGACCCGCGGAACUUUCGUCUCUGUUUGGUGUAGGCUUGCUUCGGCACCUGCAUCGGCAUUGAUGCUUUAAGAUCUAAAUUUAACCCGCUCUUCUGUACGAACCUGUUAGAAUCCCCUGCUUCGGUAGGCCUGGGCUUGGUAGUAGUCAGAGAGCAACCAUUGAACUAAAGCCGCGAUAAGCUUCUAGUGCUGUUACUUUCGGGUUCAGCCUAGGGGUACGCAAACUUAAUCAAUCACACUUUCAGCAACGGAUGUCUUGGCUCCUAUAACGAUGAAGAACGCAGCGAAAUGCGAUACGUCUUGCGAAUUGCAUAGCCAGCGAGUCAUCAAAAUUUUGAACGCAUCUUGCACUUCCCUUUGGGAGUAUGUCUGUUGGAGUAUCUGUAGACCCUCUUGAGCCAUCAGGGCUGUAACAAGCUCUGAUGGAGAUCGUGGUCUCCCUCUAUUUAUACAGGAGUCGGAUAGAUGUAAGGGCUUAUGUCUUAGUUCUCUUCGGAGGCUAAGCUAAGCUAGCGUUUCAGGUGUGCGUCAAAGCCGCAUACUCGAACCAAUCCCUUGUGGAGUUCCUCUUGUAGGACGAAACAAGUUGUGGUCUUUAGUAGAGUUUGCGAUCCCUUUGUAUGCAUUCAACACAACUGAUAUCAUGGAGAAGUGAGUCUUCUCAAUCAGACCUCCAAUCAGACAGACAAGAAUACCCGCUGAAUUUAAGCAUAUCAAUAAGCGGAGGA
rnacentral:rRNA from 1 species